ACCACUUACAGCCACAAACAUAACAUUCCCGAAUGGCACACUCUUCGGAUAACUCAGCUGGUAGAGUGUUAGGGCUGGAGUCAGGCCUAGGUCAUCAGCAAAGCGAUAACUCACUCGAGGCCAAUGAAGUUCACUCACUGUGAAUUUAAGGAGACAACCACAACUCAAGGCUAGUAGUCUCAAAUGGGUCUUGCCCCAAUGAAGCAGCUGUGAGGAUUGAAGGUCCCGCCCUGUGCUCUGCCUGUUUUAUUUCUCUGCAAGUUCUAGGAGACCAGCGGGGAGGGGAGCUGGUCACAGCAGGAGGGGGAGACUCCCUGCCUCCGCUCUGCCUCUUGGCCGCCCUCCCCUCCAGCCUCUGCUUCAGCCUCAGAGUCUGAACUGCUCUCUGCCACAGCCUCUUCCUGUUCCCUAAACCCUGUCACCUCUUCUACCGGCACUUCCUCCUCCCACUCUGCUCCCUCUUCCCCUUUUAGCCACUCACUACUGUGCCGUCCCACGACCAAUCCCUUGAUUCAGAGCCUUCUUCCCUUGGGAGUUCCCCAGGGGGUUCCUGGGCUGGUGUCUCCCACCUCUCCUCUGCAUCCAGCCAGUCCAUGACAAUCUCAGGGUUGUGGGUUCAAGCCCACCAACAUAAGGAGCUGGAUCAGUCCAAGGGCCAAUCUAGUCCAGCAACCUGUGGCCAUCUAGAUGCCCCAAGGAGAACCCUGCAAGCAGGACCUGAGUGCCAUAGCACCCUGCCCACUUACGAUCCCAGCCACUGGCCUUCAGAGACAUAUUGCCUCUGACAGUGGUGGCAAAGCACAGCCAUUGCAGCCAGCAGCCGUUGAUAGUUUCAUCCUCCAUGAAAUGCCAAUUGGUGAAGGGGUGAACUUUGGCAGACUCAAUGAACAGUUCACAUACAUCACUGGACCUUUAGACCAACCACAUCUGGAGAACGUGAGAAUAGUCUGCAGGGAGGAUCAGGCCAUAGCCUGUCUAGUCCAGCAUCCUGUUUUCACAGUGGUCAACUGAAUGCCUGUGGGAAAACCUGCAAGCAGGACCCCAGCACAACAGCAUCUCUCCCCUCCUGCGGUUUCCAGCAACUGGUAUUCAGAAGCAUUGCUGCCUCUGACCGUGGAGGCAGAGCAUAGCGAUUGCAAGUAGUGACCCUCAGAAGCCUUCUUCCCUAAAAAAAUUGUCCAACCCUCUUCAAAACCAUCCAAGUUGGAUGCUUCCUGCAGCAGCGGGUUCCACAUUUUAACCAUGCAAAAUAACUGCAUUAAGAGGUUGUUGUUUAGUCGUCUUAGUCAUCUUCGACUCUCUGUGACCCCAUGAACCAGAGCAUGCCUUGGAAACUCUCACUUUCUUCUCAAAGCUUCUCCUUUUUUGUGUCCAUGGAGCUUUCUUGGCAAAAUACUGGAGUGGUUUGCCAGUUUCCUUCUCCAGGUGGAUCACAUUUAGUCUAAACUCUCGGCUAUGACCUGUCCGUCUUGGGUGGCCCUGCUCAUAGCUUCUCUGAGUUAUUCAAGUCCCUUCGCCACGACAAGGCAGUGAUCCAUAAAGGGGUAUUAAGAGGUACCUAGCCAAUAUUUUGGAUAUUUUAUCUUAAUCUCAAUGUGUAUAUUUUUAUAUGUUCCCUGCACAAUAGAAAAGUUUUGCAAUCUUCACAAUGGGGGGGUACCUAUACACUAUGUAUCAUCUGUCUGUCUGUCUGUCUGUCUGUCUGUCUGUCUUUCUAUCUAUCUAUCUAUCUAUCUAUCUGUCUGUCUGUCUGUCUAUCUAUCCUGUCUAGUAAUGGGCACCUUCAUCUCCAGGAAAGCCCCCAUCAAGCUUUGCUUGCUGUCCUCUGCCCCAGUCCAUGUCUGCCCAUAUCUCAUCAUGUUCCCCUUGCCUGCCCCUAUGUCCUUUUAUAUAUAAAAAAGAUGUCUCCCAAACUUAGAGCACUGAGCAGCAAAAUGAGAAAUUCUUGCUCAGAAGCCCAGAAUUGCCUCUCCCCUGUGUUUGCUCUCCAGCAGAUCCCGUUGCAUAUCAUGUCUUAAUUACCACCUUCCUUCCAUGAUCCCUGGAAUACUUAAUGUGCCCUGUGCAGGGGUUGGUGUUACCUCAAAAGUGGCUAACAAAUGUAUCUGCAUGCCCCACUUAAUCGGGCUAAGGAUGCUAUCAUUAUUCAGGCGAGAACCUCAGACAUGAAUAUUCAUGCGCUGCUUGCUAGUCCAACCGGUAAAUGGAGCCUCCAUCCUCUGAGCCUCUCCCUUGACUGGCCAAGAUGAAUCGCAAGGCCUCUUGGGGCCACUGGGUACAUUUCCUCCAAAUGAGAAAACCAGCAAGCUAAUGUCUUGUGUUUUCCCUCGGAUACAUUCCCUACAGCACACUCUGUCACACAGAACCUCAACUCCUUUUCCCACUGCACCCUCCAGAAUGCCUGCAAAUUUGAUGUCAGGAGUCACAGAAUCAUAGAGUUGGAAGAGUCAUUUAGUCCAACCCCCUGCAAUGGAGGAAUCACAACAAAAGAAUCUCUGACAGAUAUGCCGCCCCUCCAGAUUCUGUUUAAAAGCCUCCAAGGAAGGAGAGUCCAACACCUUCCGAGGAAGUCCAUUCCAUUGUCAAAGAGCUCUUCCUGCCAGAAAGCUAUGUCACGGCUAAAAAUUGGCCGCUGUUUCUUUAAUGCUAAAAGAACUAAGUCAGCAUGAGUCAGCGGCCUACAAUGACUCAUGCAACCUUUCACCAAAUUGUACCUGUAUAUAUAGAGUGGUCAGUUGUUAGUGUUGGGUGUGGGUUGGUUGGUUGGUAGAAAGCUGGUUGCGUUUGGUGUGUGUAAAAGCUGUCAGUUGUGGUUGGAGAAGAAGACCUUUUAAGAAUAAAAGCAGCAUUCCGCAAAGUACUCUUUCUUAAGGACUCUUUGCGCCAACUAGGGUCUGAGGAGGGGGCAAAGGAGUAAAAAGGAGGUCAGAACCUUUUUCUUUUUCAAACACUGACAAGCUAUUCCUAAUGUUGAGCUGGGAUCUCCUUUCUUGCAACUUGAAGCCAUUGGUUCGGGUCCUACCCUCCAGAGCAGGAGAAAACCAGCUUGCUCCAUCUUCCUCAUGACAACCCUUCAGAUCAUAUCACCUCUCAGUCUUCUCUUCUCCAGGCUAAACAUGCUCAGUUCCUGCAACUGUUCCUCAUAUGGUUUGGAUUCCAGUCCCUUGAUCACCCCUGCAUGCGUUCCAGCUUGUCAAUGUCCCCUCAAACUAUGGUGCCCAGAGCUGGAUCAGGCCAAUGGCCCAUCUAGUUCCGCACCCUGUUCUCACAGCAGCUGACUAGACACCUCUAUGGGAAGCCUGAAAGUUAGACUUGAGCAUUCAGGAAUUCAGGAUAAAGGGGGUGGGCAGCAGCCUUGCCUCCUUAUAAUAAUAAUAAAAAGAAGAAUACCGGUAAUAAUUUAUUAUUUGUACCCCGCCCAUCUGGCUGCGUCUCCCCAGCCACUCUGGGCGGCUUCCAACAAAGAUUAAAAAUUCCCCUGUUGAAAUUCUACACUGAUGGACAGCAGCUGUCCAGGAUUUCAGACCUUGUCUCCCCCAGUCCUACCUGGAGAUGCCACUAGGGAUUGAACCCGGCUCCUUCUGCAUUACAAGCAGGUGCUCUUCCAUUGAGCCACAACAAUCCACUAUACUCAGUCAAGCUGUUGGUCCUUCGAGCUCAGUAUUUUCUCCUCUGACCGGCAGUUCCUCUCCAGGAUUUCAGAUGGGGUCUCUCCCAGUCCUGGAGACGCCACUGGGAUUGAACCUGGGCCCUUCUGCAUGCCAAGCAGGUGCUCUACCACUGAACUCUUCCCCUGAUGUGGUAGUACUAUGGAGGAAAGGGCCUCUCACGCUUGGGCUAUUGUGCAGAAUACCUUCUGUGUUUCCAACAUCCCCACUUAGCUUACAAAGUUUAAAGAAAAGCAGCGUGAUAUUUUAGUGGGCAAAAUAAUAAUAAAAUAAAAUGGGGGUGGGGAUGAGAAGCUGUCAAUUCUCCCCCCGCCCCCACUCCCACCACCUCCUCUGCCUUCUCUCUCAUCUCUUUCAAUGCAGCCUCACUUUCAGUUCAAUGAAACUGGAGAGCCUGGCAAUAACACAAAGGCUUCUCACAAUGCUCCAUUUCUCUUUCUUCUCUGGCAUUUGUGCUGAAAUAUCUGCUAUAGUAACUGUCCUCUCUCUCAUGCAUGCCUAUCUCUCUCCUUAGAAUUCAAUCUCAUUAAAGAGGCGUUCUUUGAAGGAAGUGCAUCUGCAUUACACAGAGACUCCUUUGCCAGGCUCGCUUCUUUUCUAUGACAUUUCCAAUUACACUCUCUGGGCAGGAUUCGGCAGGGACCCAGAGCCCAGAAUCCGGGUCUUUGCUGAGCAACUGCUAAGGAGCAGAGGGGAGGGUGCAGUUUCAAGCAGAGAUGCUGCCAAGGGGAAGGAGUGGUCGCCAUGGGCAUAGCCAGGGGGAGCAGGGGAGGUUCUGCGCCCCCAGGAGAAGCCUGCCUCCCAUAAUGUCCCCUUCUGGGGGGUAUAGUUAGCUAUGAUUUCCCAAAAUAAGCUCAACAACUUUUGCUGUUCCUUGGCCCUUUACCUCCCACCUCGCCCUGUGCUUCUAGUUAAAAAAAAAAAAAACUAUACAUAUUCCCCUGUUUGUUUUAGUGUUAAAAAUCAUAACCUGCUUUUCAACCCAGCUUCUCAAGGCAAAUCUACUUAUAUUAUUAUUUGAGAGUCGGUGUGGUAUAGUGGAUAGGGAUGUUGGUGGCGCUGUGGUCUAAACCACAGAGCCUAGGGCUUGCCGAUCAGAAGGUUGGCAGUUCAAAUCCCCGUGACGAGGUGAGCUCCCGUUGUUCAGUCCCAGCUCCUGCCCACCUAGCAGUUCGAAAGCACAUCAAAGUGCAAGUAGAUAAAUAAGUACCGCUCCAGUGGGAAAGUAAACGGCAUUUCCGUGUGCUGCUCUGGUUCGCCAGAAGCGGCUUAGUCAUGUUGGCCACAUGACCCAGAAGCUGUCUGUGGACAAACGCCGGCUCCCUCCGCCUAUAGCGUGAGAUGAGCGCUGUAACCCCAGAGUCGUCCACAACUGGACCUAAUGGUCAGGGGUACCUUUACCUUUACCUUUAUGGUAUAGUGGUUAUAGUGGUUAAUGAAAAGGCAUUUCCAUGCCAGCCCACAAGUUAGUAGGUAAGACUGAAUCUUGUUUAAGUACUUUUUUCUGUUAAUACCUUGGUGCUUUUUUAUUUUAGUUUGGAGGGAUUUUUAAGUGCGAUCAAAUCUACUCUUUUGUCAAUUGUGUACUAGCAGGAGAAUAACUCAGAACAAAUGGUCAAUAUAUGCAGGCCUAUGGAAGCUGUCCUAAUAAUUCCAGAGCAGUGCUGUGGAAAUGGAAUUGAUGUGGAGUUCAGCUUUCAGGGAAACUCAUAUUUCAUUUUGUAUUUAAAAAGAAUCAAGUUUCCAGUCCUUAAGGUUGCAGAGAUCUGCAUGGAAAAGUGCAGGCAGAGAUGAUGGAAUUACAUUUCCAUUAGUUGGGGAGGGGGCUUUGCUGUUCUUGACCUCCUGUGCAUAGCAAAACCUGCCUAAAUUAUGCAGAAUAACAAAGACAUUGGACUACGCAGGUUUAUUUAUCAUGCAUUUCUCAGGGGUAUUUAUAUGAUGCCUCCGAAUAACUACAUUCUCUAAGCAUCUUAUAUUAAAAUACAUCCAUGUAAAAGAAAAAAAGAGGUUCAUAAUUUCCAUUUGUGUUUUUGUGUGUGUGUUUUGAAUAGACUCAGUCCUCGGUAGGGGAUUGUGUGCCCCUCGGACAGAACCAUAACUCCUACAGAGAGCUUUUUGGAGAUAUGAAGAAUAAAACACUUUUCAUUGCAAAUUGGGGCAGAUUAGUAAAAUAAUGAGGACAGCAAUAACAAUGGGCCCUGCUGAGCCUGACAAACAUCUCUAAAUAAACCCGCUUAGCAAAAGUUCCUUUUCCUAAAUCUGCAAAGGUCAUAAAAUUGGCCUCUUCUUCUCUCUCAGCUUCGAGGGGGGUGGGAGACGAGGCUGCCGAAAAGCUCGGGGCGAGAUUGGUUUUCACUGAUCUCGAACGAAAACAAAUGAGGGAAGAAAUAAUAUGCAAAUCGACUCCAUGUCUCAGUGGGACGUAGAGCUGUCAAUAUUUGCCUCUCAGCUCAAUAAAUCCAGAGGAUCCUUGGAAGACGUGUCAAUAAAUAUCUGCUUCUUGUUACAGAUGAGCGAUAUGGGGAACUGGAGAACUUAAAGGAAUACAGUGAGCAGCAGGAUACUGAUCGCUCUGCCUAUUGAGAGCAUCAGAAGAGGCAGCAGGAUCAGGCCAGUGGCCCAUCUCCCGUUCUCACAGUGGCCACCCAGAUGCCCCAAUAAGAAGCUCGCAAGCACAAGAGCACUUCUGGUAGCCAUCACUCCCUCCUGUGGAAGUGAGUUCCACAGUUUAACAAUGUAUGGCAUGAAAGAGUUUUGUCUGUCCUGAAUCUUCCAGCUUCAUUCAACUUCAUUGGGUGCCCAUUGGAUUCUAGGGUUUUGAGAGAGGGAGAAAACCUUUUUUCUCUACCUUCUAUCCUUCUAUCGUAGAAUCAUAAAACUGUAGGGUUGGAAGGGGUCAUGAGGAUCAUUCCAGGAGUCAGCAAACUUUUUCAGCAGGAGGCCUAUCCACUGUCCUUCAGAACUUGUGGGGGCCUGGACUAUAUUUGGGGGGGACGGAAUGAAUGAAUUCCUAUGCCCCACAAAUAACCCAGAGAUGCAUUUUAAAUAAAAGGACACAUUCUCCACCCCCAUCGUUCUGCCCGGACACUGAGGUCCAGCUCUGAGGGCCUUCUGGAGGUUCCCUCACUGUGAGAAGCCAAGUUACACGGAACCAGGCAGAGGGCCUUCUCAGUAGUGGCACCUGCCCUGUGGAACGCCUUCCCACCAGAUGUCAAAGAGAAAAAUAACUACCAGACUUUUAGAAGACAUCUGAAGGCAGCCCUGUUUAGGGAAACUUUUAAUGUUUGAUGCAUUACUGUAUUUUAAUAUUUUGUUGGAAACUGCCCAGAGUGGCUGGGAAAGCCCAGCCAAAUGGGAGGGGUAUAAAUAAUAUAGUAGUAGUGGUGGUGCUAGUAGUAGUAGUAGUAGUACAACCCCCAGCCAAUGUAGGAAUCACAGCUGAAAGAUCCCUGACAGAGGGACAUCCAACCUCUGUUAAAAAACCUCUGACAAAGGGGAAUCCACCACCUUCCAAGGCAGUCUGUUUCACCACCGAACAGCUCUUACCACCGGAAAGUCCGUCAUAACGUUUAGUCAGAAUCUCCUUUCUUGCCAUUUGAAUCCAUUGGUUCGGGCCCUACCCUCUGGAGCAGCAGAAAUCAAGGAAGGUGAUGUGAGAUCAGGACCUUGGACAGGGGUCUAGGUGCGCGUUUCAGGACCACGGCCAGCGAUUUAAUGAGGCGGGGAGAACCACGUACGCCACCUUGAACUAAAACAAGUCGGGAUAUAAAUGCAAUCAGUAACUAAUAAUUAAUAAUGUCAAAACUUGGAGAGGAAGUUUGUGGGGAAAUUAGCAGUGUUUGCAGGUGGGGGGUUGGGGUGGGGUGUCUCAGAGCGGACAACAAUUAAUGAGGAGGGGAAGGGGAGAGAUUGGAAGGAAUGGCGUCCAGUCCUGUGUGUUCCGUGGCAGUGCAAAGGAGCCCACAGAGAAGCAAUGGUAGAGGAGAUUUACGCCCUGCACUCCAGGGUAUAAAUAACCCCUCGUCUGACACUGCCUAAUUGGGGCAUGAGAGGCAGUAUCUCUGCAGCUUCGAGACACGGACCCACACCUCCCGACCGGUGCCUUAUCGAGGUGGCAAUAUAUUCCAGAGAUGGAUAUCAGGCAUGUGGUGGGAAGCAAUGGAAAGCCUGUCUUUGGUGGCAGGUGGCCUUAGGAUGAAAAUGCAUGAGCAGCGUUUUAUCGCGCCAGCGAUGCCGUCCGGGCAAUCAUUUCCGCAGCGCCCUCCUAGCUGUGGUAAUGCUUCAUUCAUAUGGAAAUCCACUUGAAAGCCUCCUGAAUUUAAAUACCCGGCGGCAAGGUUGUGUGUGAACCACAGUUCUCCAGCAGCACAGAAAGCUCACAGCUGGGGAUUCAGCUUCAUGAGAAUCUUCCCCCUUUAAAAAAAAAAAUAGAGCAAGUUUCUAGUCCUUAAUGUUGUGAAGCUAUGUUUGAAAGUAUGCAAACGACGACUGGAGAGGGGAGAGGGUCCUCGGAAGCCGGUGGAGUUUUUGUAUAAAAUGCAAAAUGCAUGGGAGGAGUGCUUUCAGAAGCUUGCAUAGCGCCUUAUCUCUCCCCAUGGCCAGAACUGAACUCUCUCUUCUUUUUAAAGCACAGAAUUUAGAUUACCUUAGCACAGAAUUUAAGUCUCCUUUAGUGCACACGUUCACCAAUACUCAACUUCUCCACUUUUUCAAGUACUAGGUAGCAGAUGCUGAGGCCUUCUUCAGCCUGAGACAAUUGAGCACGCCCUAUCUGCAGCUGUUACAAAUUGCAUGCCAAAGGGGCCACAACGAUGAAGGCCCUGCUACGGUGGACCCAGCGAGCUCUUGGUACCACCAGGAGGUCCCCUUGUAGAGAUCAUAGUGGCUGGGCAGGAGGGCAAGUAGCCCUCAAAUGGUGGGUUAUGUAAACUAAAACACAAUCACAAAAUGUAGAAUAGCAAACUAUAAAUCAACAACCAGUGCUUUUUUUUUUGCCAGCUGGAGCAUGCUGGAGUGUAGGUCUGGCACCACUCAGAAGGAAACCAUUGUAAGCCAAUGCUCCCCCCCAACCCGAUUUUUGUCUUUAGAUCUAGCUCCUAGCUACAAUUGGUCAAGCUACAGGGCAGGGCCAAUUUGUAUUUCUUUUCUUUCACCCCAUCUCCUGUGUAGCGGCAGGGGGCUUUAAGCCUUCCAGCCAAGUCUCUACCAUGGCCUGCACAUGUGUUUGUGCCAGGACCCUUCCGAGCUGUCCUAGCCAUCUGCCUGAAUCCAAGAGAAUAAGGGAGGCAGUGGUGCAGUUAUUUGACCUGCACCAGAACUAAGAUUGACUCCCAAACCAGCUAGGGAGACAGCUUUUAGCACCUCUGCGGGCAGUGAACGUUGUCAAACCGGCAUCUGUUCAGGGCUGCCCCGAGUUGCCCAGCAAUUUACUGUAACAACUUCAUGGUGAGAUAUGGCACCUAUUUUGGGGGGAGGGGAGCACUGACCACAACACAUAAGAACUAAGAAGAGCCUGCUGGAUCCGCUCAAUGGUCCACCUAAUAAUAAUAAUAAUAAUAAUAAUAAUAAUAAAUUUUAUUUAUACCCCGCCCUCCCCGGCUAGAGCCGGGCUCAGGGUGGCUAACACCAAUAAAAGCAGCCGAUAAAUCAAGACCAUAAGGGGAGCGAAACAUAAGGGUCAGACUGAGUCCAAACCAAAGGCCAGGUGGAACAGCUCUCUGUCUUGCAGGCCCUGCGGAAAGAUGUCAAGUCCCGCAGGGCCCUAGUCUUUUGUCACAGAGCAUUCCACCAAGUCGGGGCCAGUACUGAAAAGGCCCUGGCCCUAGUUGAGACCAAUCUAACCACCUUGCAACCUGGGACCUCCAAAAUGUUGUCAUUUAUGGACCUAAGGUCCUCUGCGGGGCAUACCGAGAGAGGCGGUCCCAUAGGUACAUGGGUCCUAGUCCAGCAUCGCCUUCUUACAGUCACCAACCAGUUGCCUGUGGGAAACCCUCAAGAAGUUUCCUUCAUUCCCCUUUCCCAUGCUGUGAAACAGAAGAACAUGAGAGGGAAUUGUUGGACCUAGCUGAUCUACGAGGCCCGGGAUUUCUCUGUGCUUUAAGCAAGACAAGGAGCAGACAGAUCCCCCAUUAUCCCUUUCCUGUGAAAUAUGCCAAGCCACUUAGUAUUCAUGCUUGUACCCAAUUAUUUAUAACAGGGAUUCUUUAUUCGAAGUUUCAGGCUGGGAAAGGGGGGUGGGGAGUUCUAACCAGGUGGUUUUAACAAUGAUUUAAGGCUUGGGAGAGUUUGAUUAUUAAUGGAGGGAGGAGGAGGAGGGUCCAAGGAAGGGAAUUUGGAGUGGCGAAAUAAUGUGGCUGAGGAAGAGUCAGGAUGGUAGCACAGCUUUCUGCCACCUGAUGCCCUCCUGACGCUUUGGACUGCAACUCCCAUCAGCCCCAGCCAGCCCCAAAACUGAAAGCAGAACUAUGUAUAACUGGCCUAUUGCCACUAUCAGCAGUAAUCAUCAUGAACAAGUGGCCAAGUCUCGGCCUCCCUAAAUCUUCCAUAGCAUAGCUCCUUCCCCCUCUCCUCUCUUUAAAAGCACUUUUGAAUGCAGCUGGCAAAUGUCAUAGGGGAUUAGGGCAAAGUAGACAGAUGUGGGGGCUAUCAGCUCCCUAUAGCACCAAGAAAAGUCCUGGUGGAUCAGACUAGUGGCCCAUCUAGUCCUUCAUCCUGUUCUCAUGGUGGGCCAAUAGAUGACCUAAAGAGAAACCCACAGGCAGGAUUCAGGCUCCCCAGCAACUGGUAUUCGGAAGCCACUGUGGAGACAGACCAGAGCCAGAUGAUGCAAUGGCAGCCUCUUGACCCAGCUGCCUCCCCCUGCCCUAGUGGUGUUGGGUCACCCUCUUGACCUGGCAGUCUCCCCCUGCCCUGUGACCCCAGAGAUGUAGAGGGGUGGCCCUUCCCCCCUGCACAAUCGCACCGGACAGAGGAGAAGGGUGGUCUCUUGACUAGACAGCCUCCCCUUCCCCUUAGACUAGACGAGCAGCAUAAGGGUGAUCUCAACUUGCAUUAUAACCACCGUGUGGUUGAGGGGUGGAGGUGAAGCUGAAGCUGAGAAUGAAGAUAGACCUCUUGACUCAGCCACUGCUCCCCCAUUCCAGUGGUCGUAGGCAGUGGGGGGCAGCAGUUAAGAGGUCAUCCCACCACCACCACCACCUGUGCAUCCUCCUCCUCUUCUUCUUCCUCCUCCUCCUUUCUGCUGAGCACUCUGCUUUUUUUCAGGCUUUCCAAUUCAGCCGUCCGCAAGCUGUAAUCCCAACCCAUAAAACUGAGACAUGGUUGCGCAUAUUGAGGUCAGCCAUUGGGUCUCUGAACCGUGGCUCUUGCUCCUGAAGUUUUGACCAGGCGGAGCUGUAAAGCUCUCCUAACUAAUGGGAUUGAGUUGUUUAUGGCCCCAUCAACCUUUUUUUCUGAAAGGAUCAGGUUGAGUUUUAUCAUUAUCAUUUCCUGUAACUGGGGGUGAUGUCGAGCGUUCAAGGCUCACCUCUACCCCUCUCCCACCUGCACCCAGUCAUCCUCUCUUUUUCAUAGUGUGUCUUCCCUUUGAAAAAAACGAAGCCCCCCCUAAAUGAAGGAGGCAGAGAUCUAGAGAUAGGAGAGAUGCAGCAAAGGGGGGGGUGAUGAGAUGGAGAGAAAAGCAGCUAGAAUUUUUCCCUUAUCUCAACCUGUUCAUCCCUCCCGUGUAAUUGUUUUGCUGAUGUUUUCCUUGUAGCAAAUAAUACACCACGCUUCAAAAGUUACAUCCAGGUAAAAAGUAUAAAGCAGAACUACUGACGAGUCUUGCUGAUGGAUCAGUCCAGCAUCCUGCCCCAUAGUGACCAGCCACAUGUUCCAAUGGGAGCAGAACUUGAGCACAACAGCAAUUAGAUGAGAACUAAACAGAAGCCCAGCUGCAUUUUGGGCCAAGGGAAGUUUCUGAGUCAUUUGAGGGCAGCUCCAUGUGGAGUCUAUCCCUAGGUUACCUGAAAGCCUUGCUCGAUCUCAGCACUCUGCUUCUCUCUCCCUCUCUAUCUGCUUUUAAAGAGCCAAGGCCACAUAAAUUCAAAGGCAUGAUAUAAUUGAAGAUGAAUCCAUCAGGCAGCACACAACCUUUCACAUUAGACAUAUUGAGACUGAAGCUGGAGGAAAAUUGCUUUUUUCCUUCUUGACUUUCUAUUUGCUUAAGCCCCCAAUAUUUACUGGUUGCGAGCGGAAUCUGUUUUUCAUUUCCAGCGUGGAGGUGAGGGAGAAUCCCAGUGCCACUCAUCUCGGCACCAAAAUUAAAUCUGUCGAGCACUGUCAGGGGCCCGGUGUAUUAAUGAUACACUUGUAAUCCGUUUCAUUCUGGAGGGUGAGGAGCAGAGCUGCGUCUGCUGACGGGGGACUCAGGCACUUGACCAUUGUUCGCACAUUAUAAUAGGAGGCGAAGAACACUUCCCCAAUCCCUGGAAAUUGCAGCUUCUUCUCCAUCAUUUACUCCCUUCGUGGCAACGCCCCAGGGCCACGGACUGCUGCCGGAGCCUCAAUUAGCCAGUGGAUGGAGAAUCUGAGGUCAACGGAUCAGCUGCUUCCUCCUCCUAUUAAUAAGUCGGGAAAUGUGCAACACAGAGAGAAAAGAUAGUUUCUGUCUCCAUCGGAUGCACUGCCAGCUGCAGAGAAGGGAUUGCAGGAUUAUCGGGCUGGGUGGGACCCCAGAGGACAUCUAUAGCAACCCCCGGCUCACUGCGGAUUCUGCCAUGUAGGGUGCAUUGACAGAACAGGUGGCAAAGUAGCUAUUCAGCCUCUGCUUAGAUACCACCAGGGAAGAAGAGGCCGUUGCCUGCUGAGGUGGACUGCUCCACUGUCAGAAAAGCUCUAACUGCUAGGAAGCUUCUCCUGCCAUCAAACGGAAAUCUCCUUCCCCACAAUGUCCACCCAGGGUUCUAGCCCUGUGUGUGCACAGCAGCAGAGAAAAAGCCUGCCCUAUCUUCGGCAUGACGAGCACCAUAUCUACAAUUUUUCUUGUAGGGGGCAGAAGUCUACACUACCACCAUGCUUUCCCAGAUUGUGAACACUGAUCAAUGAAUCAGGGGGAUAUGGUUGUUAGUGUACUUUCCCCAGACUAAACACAAUUCCCUUCAUUGGAGAAGACCAAGGCAGAAAUAUGAGUUGAGAAGUUCUACCUUCUCUCCAUCUCCCCUCUUCCUUGGUCUUCUUGCUUCUGUGGACAAAAUAACCCCCUUUUCUGGUUUUUUAUCAUUGUUGUUGUUGUUGCUGCUGCUGCCCAUCUGACUGUGUGGCUUCCAACACAUUAAAACACAGGAAGGCAUCAAGCAUUAAAACUUCCCUAAGCAGGACUGCCUUCAGAUGUUUUCUAAAAGUCAGAGAGUUGUUUAUGUCCUUGACAUCUGAUGGCGGGCGCCACCACCGAGAAGGCCCUCUGCCUGGUUCCCUGUAACGUCACUUCUCACAGGGAGGGAACCGCCAGAAGGCCCUUGGAGCUGGACCUCAGUGUCACUCUCAGGGUCUGGUCUGAAGGAAUAUAAUCCACCACUUGCUGAAUUUUAUAUGUUUGUUUAUUGCAUUUAUAUCCCAACUUUUUAAGUCAGCCUGUUAAAUCAACCUCCCAGAAAGCCUGAUUCUCUGUUUCCUAUUUUGCUAACUUUUAAAUCUGUUUCCUGGGAGAGGAGCACCUGGGCCAAUGAACAGCAUCCAGUCCAGAGAAGGAAACCUCUGCGCUCUGCAGCCUGCCUUGAAAGCCACACCGCUGACAAGCCACCCUUGAUCCUAACUGCUUUCAACAAUGCUAUUACUUUGCAAAAAAAAACCAACACCUUCCCUGCAACUCCCCAUUAGGCUCAGCAGUGACACCACAAACCUUCCAGCACUUGGAUGGUGUCCAUUGAGCGACGCUGCCUGUUCAGGGAUGCCGCCUCCAAUUAUAGGAAGGAGGCGGGGAAAACCAUUUGGCACCCCAUUCUUGCAACGCAGUUUUGUCUAUUCCGCUUACCCGGGGCCUCAGUUCCUGGGCAUUAACAGCGAAUAAAAAAGUUUAGCUCACUGAUUUAUCGCCUCUCGCGGAAAGUGAGUUUAUCACCUGCC